rnacentral:rRNA from 1 species
AACGAACGCUGGCGGCAGGCCUAACACAUGCAAGUCGAGCGCAUCCUUCGGGGUGAGCGGCGGACGGGUGAGUAACGCGUGGGAACGUACCCUCUUGCCUGGGAUAACAGUUGGAAACGACUGCUAAAACCGGAUGAGCCCUACGGGGGAAGGAGAGGAUCGGACCGCGUCGGAUUAGGUAGUUGGUGGGGUAAUGGCCUACCAAGCCUACGAUCCGUACCUGGUUUGAGAGGAUGACCAGGCACACUGGGACUGAGACACGGCCCAGACUCCUACGGGAGGCAGCAGGGGGGAAUCAUAGACAAUGGGGGAAACCCUGAUCUUGCCAUGCCGCGUGGACGAUGAAGGCCUUAGGGUUGUAAAGUCCUUUCACCGGUGAAGAUAAUGACGGUAGCCGGAGAAGAAGCCCCGGCUAACUCCGUGCCAGCCGCCG